AGUCACGUUUGUCAUGAUUCAAAUAAGUCAGCCGCCGCUUGAAAUAAUUCCCUUCCGUGUAAAAAGUUAAGCAUCUCUAAUCAGAUGAAGAAUGAACACCGGCGGCUAAUCUACAUUUCUUUGCGCAUACAAACUUUUUCUCUUCUUUAUAUAACCGAUCGGUCUCACUAUAUUGCAAAACCAAUACGAAUGGUUAGGUUUCAGCCUCCGAAGAGUCCUCUUUCGCGUAGUCUUAUCAAUGUUCGCCAGAUAACGAUUUGAACGCAAAAAGGGUAUUGGCGCGAGAUGGUUGAAUGCAUAAGAUUCGAGAGGGAAUGAGCUAACGAAUCUUAAAACUAUUGUCCAAGAAGUUCGGUUUUCGAAAAUACGAAUCUUACUUCGGUAAAAUUACGUACUUCCGGUUAGCUAAGACUGAAAUUCGGCAUUCUGAGGGUUUUAGGGAAAAGAUCUAAUCCAUUUCCAUCUAGACCGUGGAAGAGGCUAGAGUGCGUGUUUUUACUUUUGUUCCGCGGUGCGUGUUAGAAGGUGUUGCGUUAAUAUUAGCAGUAGAAAGUGCGGGAAAAGAUCGUGUGCGUUGGAAGGAAAUUAUAACAAAGCCGUGCGACGGCUUUUUAUUCCCUACUUUAGACGCUCUUCGGCUCGCCGCACCGUUCUUCAUCCAGCGACGCGCUCUAGACCCCACGCUCUGGCUUGGAAAUUCUGGCAAUCUCCGUCAAAAUCGCCAGAAGGGCGAAGUUCGUCAUUUUCCGCCCAUCAGAGCCACACGUCACAACCAACCGGUGUGCACGUUUUUUGUUGCUGACAGCAGUCCGGCGUUCCGACACUGUCAGCAGUUACCCACGAAGGACGUCCAGCCGUAAACCCGCUCCGACGUCGGCAUACCGAAACGCCGUCAGCGCAGAAUCAUUCGUAUCGACGCCAGCAUCGUCAUCAUUCGGCGGAGCGUCGCAAUACAAGCAGGUAGCAGCGAAGAAAGCUGUAAGUACGCUAUAAAUUAAAUCCAUGCGCAUGGUUAAAAGGGGGUAGCCUAGACACCCACCUAAAAGUGAGCUUUAAAUCUAGUAUUAUGGCACCUUAACGAAGAUAGCUAGAUAUCCACCCGCACACAGUUAGGUACCAAUUAGUAUAGGCAAC